rnacentral:rRNA from 1 species
AGAGUUUGAUCCUGGCUCAGAUUGAGCGCUGGCGGCGUGCCUAACACAUGCAAGUCGAACGCUGUUCGGGACUUCGGUUCCGGAUAGAGUGGCGAACGGGUGAGUAACACGUGGGUGACCUACCUUCGAGUGGGGGAUAACGUCCCGAAAGGGACGCUAAUACCGCAUGACGUUCUGGAUUUGAACAUCUGGAAACCAAAGCCGGGGACCGUAAGGCCUGGCGCUUGAAGAGGGGCCCGCGUCUGAUUAGCUAGUUGGCGGGGUAAUGGCCCACCAAGGCGACGAUCAGUAGCCGGCCUGAGAGGGCGGACGGCCACACUGGGACUGAGACACGGCCCAGACUCCUACGGGAGGCAGCAGUGGGGAAUUGUUCGCAAUGGGCGCAAGCCUGACGACGCAACGCCGCGUGGGGGAUGAAGGUCUUCGGAUUGUAAACCCCUGUCGAACGGGACGAAUGGCCUCUGAGUUAAUACCUUGGGGGAUUGACGGUACCGUUAAAGGAAGCCACGGCUAACUCUGUGCCAGCAGCCGCGGUAAUACAGAGGUGGCAAGCGUUGUUCGGAAUUACUGGGCGUAAAGGGCGCGUAGGCGGCCUUCUAAGUCAGACGUGAAAUCCCCCGGCUCAACCUGGGAACUGCGUCUGAUACUGGAUGGCUUGAGUGCGGGAGAGGGAUGCGGAAUUCCAGGUGUAGCGGUGAAAUGCGUAGAUAUCUGGAGGAACACCGGUGGCGAAGGCGGCAUCCUGGACCGACACUGACGCUGAGGCGCGAAAGCUAGGGUAGCAAACGGGAUUAGAUACCCCGGUAGUCCUAGCCCUAAACGAUGAGUGCUUGGUGUGGCGGGUUGGUAUCGUGACUGGGAAAC